rnacentral:rRNA from 1 species
GAUGAACGCUAGCUACAGGCUUAACACAUGCAAGUCGAGGGGAAACGAUAGAGAAAGCUUGCUCUUUCUAGGCGUCGACCGGCGCACGGGUGAGUAACGCGUAUCCAACCAGCCCAUCACUUGGGGAUAACCUUGCGAAAGUAAGACUAAUACCCAAUGACGUCCAUAGAAGACAUCUGAAAGGGAUUAAAGAUUUAUCGGUGAUGGAUGGGGAUGCGUCUGACUAGCUUGUUGGCGGGGUAACGGCCCACCAAGGCGACGAUCAGUAGGGGGUCUGGGAGGAAGGUCCCCCAGAUUGGAACUGAGACACGGUCCAAACUCCUACGGGAGGCAGCAGUGAGGAAUAUUGGUCAAUGGGCGAGAGCCUAAACCAGCCAAGUAGCGUGCAGGAUGACGGCCCUAUGGGUUGUAAACUGCUUUUAUAAGGGAAUAAAGUGAGCCUCGUGAGGCUUUUUGCAUGUACCUUAUGAAUAAGGACCGGCUAAUUCCGUGCCAGCCGCCGCAGUAA